GUCUAUGGCCAUGCCACCCAGAAUGUGCCUGAUUCUGGCUGAUCUCAGAAGCUAAGCAGGGUUGGGCCUGGUUAGUAUUUAGUUGGGAGACCACCUAGGAAGACCAGGUGCUGUAAGCA
rnacentral:rRNA from 1 species